GUCUACGGCCAUGCCACCCUGAACAAGCCUGAUCCUGUCUGAUCUCGGAAGCUGAGCAGGGUCGGGCCUGGUUAGUACUUGGAUGGGAAACUGCUUAGGAAGACCAGGUGCUGUAGGCA
rnacentral:rRNA from 1 species